UGAAAAACGAAAAUAGAGAAGAAAGAUGGGAGAAAGAAAGAAAGAAAAGAAAAAGGAAAAUUUGGGGUUUUGAAGUUUCAAGCUCAAUUGCUAGCGUCGUAUCGGAUUCUCGACUAAAAAAGGGAAAAAUAUAGUCGACAUCGAAUAGCUCGAAAUUCCUGGUUAAGUACACAAGUUUGAUCGCUGAUUCAGCAUCCAACAACAAUCCCAAACUCAAAUAUGGUGAUGUUUAUUUCUUUGUGUCGGCAUGUACCUAGAGUGUCUAAAUAUUAGUUAUUUUGUGGUUUGAUUGUAAAUGAAGUUAUAAGAUCUAUAAUUAAAACGAUGCUUGAUGACUUGUUUUGAUGAUAUAAAAUGUUUGAGAUUUCUGUCUGUGUGAUUUGUAAUCUCUAGUAAUG